rnacentral:rRNA from 1 species
UACAGAGGAUGCAAGCGUUAUCCGGAAUGAUUGGGCGUAAAGCGCUCGUAGGCGGCCUGUCACGUCGACUGUGAAAACCCGAGGCUCAACCUCGGGCCUGCAGUCGAUACGGGCAGGCUAGAGUUCGGUAGGGGAGACUGGAAUUCCUGGUGUAGCGGUGAAAUGCGCAGAUAUCUGGAGGAACACCAGUGGCGAAGGCGGCUUCCUGGCCUGCAACUGACGCUGAGACGCGAAAGCGUGGGGAGCGAACCGG